AUAAUUUUUUUUUUUUUUUUUUUGAUUUAUGUUAUCUUAAGUUUAAUCGGAAGGGGAAAAUUGAAAUGAUAUGAUUGUUUAUGAAAUAUUAAUCGAGAUGUCCGAUUAAUAUGGUAGUUGCUGCCACCAGAAAUAGUCUAAGGACUAUUUCAAAGAAUUUCCUUUUAUUAUUAUUAUUUCUUAAAGUUGGGAGGGUUAGUGUAUGAUGGGUAUUGUUUGUCUAUCGUGUCUUUUGGAUUCCCAGUCUGGAAGUGCCUCUAUAAGCACUUUCUUGCCUGUAGGAAAACAAACCUUGUACCCUGUCUGUCGUGUCUUUUGAACUAGGUGAGAGUCUAUUAUCUACUAACUGGUGUUUAAUGGGUAGCGUUGACUUACGUUUGAUGCAACUGGCAAACGAAUUCCACCUUUCGGCUAACCUGCUAUGCGCAGGAAUACUGGCACGGGAGAGGAUUAAAGUUAUUAGGGAUAGACAAUUGGCAACGUAUUUAUUUCGUCUGACAGAGUUAUGUUGGUUUAACUAUAUUUUAAUUUAUUCGUUGUUAGUUGAUUGAAGGUAUUACAAUAUCAGCAAUAAGUAUCGUCGGAUGCAAAUGUAGAUAUAUUAUACAGCGAUGUACAAUAAAUAAAUAUUCUAGCUUCUAACUGGAUAAAUUUUACAAAUGUUUGGUAGGAUAAUAUUUAUUCGUACCAAUAAGAUUAAUAACAAACGCUAUGGUGUGAUGUGGGCGAUGGCGAACGAGAUCGAAAGGAAUGCGCCACGCAGUGUUCGGAAAUUGGUGAAUUUGAGGGCGAAAAACUAGGUGGUGAACCUUCGCGAUUCGACUCUAAUUCUUCUCGAUGCCUCCUCUCUUCCUUUUUUAUUUCUGCAGCAAUUAAUCGUUUGUACCAACGUUCGGCUCGCUUUUUGUUGAGGUGACUUUUAUCUUUUCUAUUCUUUCUUGAUUUCGUCAUGGAAUUAUAAUUCGUUCUUAGCAACAAGUAAAGUCGUAAAUGAGUAAAUGAUUAUUUUAUUUGGUGACUGAGUUCACUGUAGACAAUCAGUGUGGCUUCGUAGGCCUCACCCAAGGAUGAGCAAUCUGCUAACGGUGGGAAGAGGAAAACGAAAACCUUAGAUGUUUUCUGUGACGAAAACACCGUAAUCACUGGUUGAUACAGCGAACAAUUGUAAACAAAAUAGAUCGAAAGCUGAUUGAGUUUAUUCCAAACUAUUCGUUAAAUGUUGAGCAAGAACGUUUAUCUCAAUUUUGUAAUUAUAUUCUCUGUAAACAAUCCGUGUGGCUUCGUAGGCCUCGCCCAAGGAUGAGCAAUCUGCUAACGGUGGGAAGAGGAAAACGAAAACCAUAGAUGUUUCCAAUGAUUAAAAACACCGUGAUCAUUGGUCGAUACAGAGAAUAAUUGUCGUGAAUUCAAAAUGUUCGAAUGAAAUUUUAUGUGGUCGUAUUUUGCUGAUGCUGCGUCUGCGUUCUUUCCAUGGCCUUCGUUACUGAUACCAGUGGAAUGUGCCGGUUGCGUGGCUGCUUGGCCUUGCUGAGGUUGCAUUUUGUGUGUCCGGUGAUCGCCCUGCUGAUGUCGGUGAAUCGUACGAGGUUAUAUUGAAUCAUGGAUACUGACAUGUCUGGAGCUGUAGAGUGUAAGAAAAAGAAAAGGAAUAGAGGGAAGCGCAGGCCGUUCGUACCUCCUGUGGUCGAA